rnacentral:rRNA from 1 species
GGCCUAACACAUGCAAGUCGAGCGGUAACAGGAAAGUGCUUGCACUUUUGCUGACGAGCGGCGGACGGGUGAGUAAUGUCUGGGGAUCUGCCCGAGGGCGGGGGAUAACCACUGGAAACGGUGGCUAAUACCGCAUAAUGUCGCGAGACCAAAGUGGGGGACCUGAAAGGGCCUCACGCCCGUGGAUGAACCCAGAUGGGAUUAGCUAGUAGGUAGGGUAAUGGCCUACCUAGGCGACGAUCCCUAGCUGGUCUGAGAGGAUGACCAGCCACACUGGGACUGAGACACGGCCCAGACUCCUACGGGAGGCAGCAGUGGGGAAUAUUGCACAAUGGGCGCAAGCCUGAUGCAGCCAUCCCGCGUGUAUGAAGAAGGCCUUCGGGUUGUAAAGUACUUUCAGCGGGGAGGAAGGGUAUGGCCUGAAANGGGCGAUAGCUUGACGUUACCCGCAGAAGAAGCACCGGCUAAC